UACGUAGGGUGCAAGCGUUAAUCGGAAUUACUGGGCGUAAAGCGUGCGCAGGCGGUUAUGUAAGACAGUUGUGAAAUCCCCGGGCUCAACCUGGGAACUGCAUCUGUGACUGCAUAGCUAGAGUACGGUAGAGGGGGAUGGAAUUCCGCGUGUAGCAGUGAAAUGCGUAGAUAUGCGGAGGAACACCGAUGGCGAAGGCAAUCCCCUGGACCUGUAC
rnacentral:rRNA from 1 species